rnacentral:rRNA from 1 species
GGUUCAAAAAAUUUUGACGGAAACACCCCCCCUGAGUGAUGAGGUUUUCGGGGCGUAAAACUCGGUGGUUUGGAAAACCAAGGGCUAGUGGAAAAGCGGGCCCUUGACGCCCCCUAACCAAAAAGCCCCGGCUAACUCCGUGCCAGCACCCGCGGUAUUCCGUAGGUGGCAAGCGUUUUCCGAAUUUUUGGGGCGUAAAGCGCGCGCAGGUGGUUUCUUAAGUCUGAUGUGAAACCCCACGGCUCACCCGGGGAGGGCCUUUGAAACUGGGGAAACUUGAUUGCAAAAAAGAAAAGUGAAUUUCCUGGUGUACCGGUAAAUUGCGUAAAGUAUGGGAGGAACCCCAGUGGCAAAGGCGAUUUUCGGGUCUGUAAUGGACACUGAGGCGCGAAAGCGGGGGGAGCAAACAGGAUUAGUCCCGGGGGUAGUCAA